rnacentral:rRNA from 1 species
UAGAGUUUGAUCAUGGCUCAGAACGAACGCUGGCGGCAGGCCUAACACAUGCAAGUCGAGCGCGCCUUCGGGUGAGCGGCGGACGGGUUAGUAACGCGUGGGAACGUGCCCUUCUCUACGGAAUAGCCUCUGGAAACGGAGAGUAAUACCGUAUACGCCCUUUGGGGGAAAGAUUUAUCGGAGAAGGAUCGGCCCGCGUUAGAUUAGGUAGUUGGUGGGGUAACGGCCUACCAAGCCUACGAUCUAUAGCUGGUUUUAGAGGAUGAUCAGCAACACUGGGACUGAGACACGGCCCAGACUCCUACGGGAGGCAGCAGUGGGGAAUCUUAGACAAUGGGGGCAACCCUGAUCUAGCCAUGCCGCGUGAGUGAUGAAGGCCUUAGGGUCGUAAAGCUCUUUCGCCUGUGAUGAUAAUGACAGUAGCAGGUAAAGAAACCCCGGCUAACUCCGUGCCAGCAGCCGCGGUAAUACGGAGGGGGUUAGCGUUGUUCGGAAUUACUGGGCGUAAAGCGCGCGUAGGCGGAUUAGAAAGUUGGGGGUGAAAUCCCGGGGCUCAACCUCGGAACUGCCUCCAAAACUGCUAGUCUAGAGUUCGAGAGAGGUGAGUGGAAUUCC